rnacentral:misc_RNA from 1 species
UCUCCGUUGGUGAACCAGCGGAGGGAUCAUUACAAAGUUUUCACAACUCCCAACCCUUGCGAACCGUACUCAUUCUGUUCUCGUUGCUUCCUGCGGGGGGGACGGGGGGGCCCGAAACGGCCUCCCCGCCCCGCCCGCCGGGGACGGCGGGCCCGACGACCCUUUAUAACUCUACCAACUGCAAACUAUUGAUAAAAAAAACAAAACAAUCAAAACUUUCAACAACGGAUCACUUGGCUCAUGCAUCGAGGAAGAACGCAACCUCUCGGAAGAACACAC